CAAAUAUUUUUUUUUUUAAAUUUGAACUCCAUACAAAGUCUUAAUCCGGGGGUCCACAAGUAAGAGAAAGGUAUUUUUUACUCAGACAAUAUAGCCAGACAGACUUGAAUGCUAAUUGGUGUUAAGAUGUCUGUAGUUAAAAUAAAGUUGGGCCCAAUAAACUGGUAGAUCAAAGGCCUGUUGAGCGCUCAUGCCCGGUGUGAUUUUAACAAUUGACUCCAAAUGCGUUGACAAGAAAAUAAGUAAAACUGUUAUUGAAUGUGAUUGGUUGAUAAAAUCAACGUACUAUAGGCUACAUUUUGUCUGCGAUAUCAUCUCGGUGGAAGCGGACAUUAAAUGAAGUGAUUUCACACAAUUAAUUUAACAUUUAACAACGUGCUGAAAUGAUUUUGGAGCAGUGAUAUGUUUGACAAAUGUAAGCUAAUGGUCACAUAGAAUACAAGACCGCAGAAUCACAUUAUGAUUAAAGCAGAAACGGUUCGACUUGAACCAGCAGACGGAAGAUAUGGACGAACAACAAGAAGAAGUUAUGGAGGUCCCAACAACUGAACCUAUGGAAGUAGAAGAAUCGUUUACAGCCGAAACCCGAUACGAUGUGCCAGUUCCGGUUAUGGAGUCCUCCAUCUCAGACGAUGCCGACGUUAGUGUCUUCUGCGACGAAGAACCCGUAGUGGUGUAUCACUAUAAACCUCAGAAUGCGUCUUUUACAGAUUUCAAUAUAACCACAAAUGGUUGAUUGUUUUAAUGCUAAGAUAAGUAUUAAUGGUUUGUAUUUGAAAAUCAAAUUAUAUAAGCGAA